AUUUUGCGUUAGGGAUUGAAACGACAUCCUUUUUUGUUUUUCACAAAAAAGAUAUAGUGAAAAGCCCGACCUUUU
rnacentral:sRNA from 1 species